rnacentral:sRNA from 1 species
UAUUCUGACCCACGGGGAAGGAUGAGAAGCUUCGACUAAGGUUCGACUCGAGCGAAGCGAGAGAACGUUGCCGCAGGCAACGGCCCGAAGGGCGAGGCGCUUUAGCGCCGAGUAAUCCUUCCCCCACCACUG